GAAAUUGUGAUGUUUUUAAUGGUUAUAUUUCCCUAUUUAUGUUUUUGUUGUUUUUAUAGUUUAUGAAGUGAUGAUGACGUUUGUUUCUGUCCAGGGACAACAAAGUAACUUAGGAUGUGUACCUGUAAUGUCGAAAACUUGUGAAAAAAUAAUUGUGAAAAAGUAAAACACUGACAAAUUUGUGAAAACGACAUCUUUCAGCUUGUGGAAUUACAAUUUUAAUUAGUUCUUGCAAAUUUUCGAACUUGUACAUUAGAUCUCA
rnacentral:lncRNA from 1 species